rnacentral:rRNA from 1 species
UUUGGUGGUCAUAGCGCGAGCAAAACUCCCGAUCCCAUCCCGAACUCGGUCGAUAAGUGCCGCAGCGCCAAUGGUACUGCGUCUCAAGACGUGGGAGAGUAGGUCACCGCCAAAC